rnacentral:lncRNA from 1 species
GGGGCAAGCUAUCUCUCUGAAUGCAGCAGAGCUGUUUGCAUCAUUGGGGUUCUCCUGAAAGAACAGAGCCCUGUGUACCCCUCCUCACUCCUAGUGCAGUUCUGCUCAUCCUGGCCGUCCUCACAGUCCUGGAAGCCAUCACAGACCAGGGGGCCGUGCUGCCGGAAGAUGCUGGUGUUGCAGGCAGGUUUUGCAGUCACUGUGAUGAAAGACAGAAGGGUCAUGAACACAGGACAUCAGCUUGGUUCUCUGGUGGCUAAUAGUGCCCUUCUAAAGGGGUGAAGCUUCACAUGGAAAAUACAACAGAGUGAUAGAGUGUGUUUACCUUGAAAUAACAAAUCCCAGGAAGAAAGGGAAUGGUUAGUAUAAUUCCUUACUUUGAUGUAAUUUCUUACAAAAUGGUUUGUCAUA